rnacentral:rRNA from 1 species
CCCCUUAUUUUUGCAAGUCGUCCGGAAAGGCCCCGCAAGGGGUACUCGAGCGGCGAACGGGAUAGUAACGCGUAGGUCACCCACCCCUGGGACGGGGAUAGCUGGGGGAAACUCCAAUUAAUACCCGAUAACAUCUUCGGAUCAAAGGUGUGAUUCCGCCUGGGGACGGGCCUGCGUCUUAUCAGCUUGUUGGUGAGGUAACGGCUCACCAAGGCUAGGACGAGUAGCGGGUGUGAGAGCACGACCCGCAUCACUGGGACUGAGACACUGCCCAGACACCUACGGGUGGCUGCAGUCGAGAAUCUUCGUCAAUGGUCGAAAGACUGAACGAGCGACGCCGCGUGCGGGAUGAAGGCCUUCGGGUUGUAAACCGCUGUCAGUGGGAAUGAAAUACUAGGGGGAUCACCUCUUAGUUUGACAGACCCGCAGAGGAAGGACGGGCUAAGUUCGUGCCAGCAGCCGCGGUAUACGAACCGUCCAACGUUAUUCGGAAUCACUGGGCUUAAGGGUGCGUAGGCGGUUGGUAGUUGGGUGUGAACUCCCCG